rnacentral:rRNA from 1 species
CAGUCGCCACGGGAAUACGAAGGGGGCUAGCGUUGUUCGGAAUUACUGGGCGUAAAGCGCACGUAGGCGGAUAUUUAAGUCAGGGGUGAAAUCCCGCAGCUCAACUGCGGAACUGCCUUUGAUACUGGGUAUCUUGAGUAUGGAAGAGGUUAGUGGAAUUGCGAGUGUAGAGGUGAAAUUCGUAGAUAUUCGCAAGAACACCAGUGGCGAAGGCGGCUAACUGGUCCAUAACUGACGCUGAGGUGCGAAAGCGUGGGGAGCAAACAGGAUUAGAUACCCCUGUAGUCCCUGUCUCUUAUAC